GGUAUCGUGGAGUAAUGGUAUCUCAGUAGCCCGCUAAGCUAUCCUACGGCAACGUAGUCCGUGUUCGAAUCACGGCGGUACCG
rnacentral:tRNA from 1 species